rnacentral:misc_RNA from 1 species
GCAGUUGAGAUCCCCGAGAUACCUGACCCCCUUCUGAAACCAUGGCAACUUCCUUGCCCCGUGCAGCCCAUCAUGGCAUCUGCUGAUAUAUUUGAGUAUUGAAGUUGCAUCCGGUUAGUGAGUUACGAGAAGCUGGGGAUGUAUUUCCUAUUGGGGUGUUCUUUCCGUUAUGGGUUCGUUUGGUGUAGUGUGGAGUGGUGUUAUUGGCGAAUGCUGUUUUCGUGUCUUUGGGCAUGAAGUCGUAAUG